CAUAGCGACUAUCGUGGCAUAUCAAUAAGCGGAGGAAAAGAAACUAACAAGGAUUCCCUUAGUAACGGCGAGUGAAGCGGGAAGAGCUCAAAUUUGAAAUCUUCAAGGUUUUACCUUGACGAAUUGUAGUUUAAAGAAGUGUUUUCUGUUGAAGUUUUGGUAAAAGUUCUUUGGAAUAGGACAUCAUAGAGGGUGAGAAUCCCGUAUUUGACCAUUAUUUUCAGCUGUGUGAUACACUUUCAAAGAGUCGGAUUGUUUGGGAAUGCAGUCCAAAAUGGGUGGUAAAUUUCAUCUAAAGCUAAAUAUUGGCGAGAGACCGGAUAGCGAACAAGUACCGUGAGGGAAAGAUGAAAAGAACUUUGAAAGAGAGUUAGACAGUACGUGAAAUUGUCAAAAGGGAAGCGUUUGACACCAGUGUUGUUUUUCCGAAAAUCAAUUACGAAUGUUUUGUUUUUGAGGAGUUAUGACUUCAUCGGCUUGCUCCUUUCUUUACGAAACUUUCUUAAUGCACUUUUCGGUUAACAAGUCAACAUCAAUUUCUUUUGUUGUAAAAGGGUAUGAGGAAGGUGGCUUUCUUUUCGGAGAAAGUGUUUAUAGCCUUGUGCCUCUGCAAUCGGAGAGAUUGAGGUUUGCAGCGUAGAUCCUUCGGGGUUAGAUACAUUUGUGCUAAGUUAUAGCUUUUCAUAGACAACUUGUUGACUAUAUUUAGUCUUGUAGCUUACUCGCUGAUGCUAUUUUACCUACGCUUAGGAUGUUGAUAUGCAUGACUGAUAU
rnacentral:rRNA from 1 species